rnacentral:misc_RNA from 1 species
GGAUUGAGGGUUCUCUGUCUUGCUCUCACUCACUUGUUUGGCAAUCUGACGAAAAAUCAAAACUUGCAUUUUUUUUCCCUCUGAGAAUAUCCAUGACGUGUUUAGAAAAACAGUAUGCCGUUAUCCUUGACUCUACUGCUUGCUGGCUGCUCGUCGAGUUGAAACUCAUCUCUUAUGAGGGACAUGUAUUUUUUUUUCAACAUUGCAAAUCAUU